GUCCCCAUGGCACAACUGGAUAGCGCAAUGGCCUCCUAAGCCGUAGGUUGCAGGUUCGAUUCCUGCUGGGGACA
rnacentral:tRNA from 1 species